rnacentral:rRNA from 1 species
CAGGUUUGAUCCUGGCUCAGGAUGAACGCUAGCUACAGGCUUAACACAUGCAAGUCGAGGGGCAGCAUGUUGGUUGCUUGCAACCAACGAUGGCGACCGGCGCACGGGUGAGUAACGCGUAUCCAACCUACCCUUGUCCAUCGGAUAACCCGUCGAAAGGCGGCCUAACACGAUAUGCGGUUCACAGCAGGCAUCUAACGUGAACGAAAUGUGAAGGAGAAGGAUGGGGAUGCGUCUGAUUAGCUUGUUGGCGGGGUAACGGCCACAAGGCUACGAUCAGUAGGGGUUCUGAGAGGAAGGUCCCCCACAUUGGAACUGAGACACGGUCCAAAACUCCUACGGGAGGCA